UUCUGCCCCCUACGACACUGACGAUGCUUCUCACAGUCAGUUCGUCAGUGACUGCUGCUGGAACAAGUCAUUUUUGUGUUCUCUCUUCUCUGCUUUUAUUGCCGGUUUGAAAGUUUACAUCGCACUUGUAUACUUCACGAUUAUUUUGUUCCCCAGCUUUUCACUCAAAUCUGACGUACACACACACACACACACACACACACACACACAUAUGUAUGCGUGUGUCUGCCCGUCUGUUGAAUGUGACUUGUUUUGGGCAGCCUAUCGUCCGAGGAAUUCCGUUGCUGGCGAAGAACGCGAUGAUAAUAUGCAUGUUGAUAUUCUGGAGGCUGAGCCCAUCAUGACCAGUAGAUACUCGGCCGUUGCUGGGGAAGAAAGCGAUGAUGAAGACGCUGAUGAUGAUAAUAAUUAUGGUGCAAUUAUAAGUUCAACAUCUGAGCCGGUUCUGCCCCCUACGACACUGACAUGGCUUCUCACAGUCAGUUUGUCAGUGACUGUUGCUGGAACAAGUCGUUUUUCUGUUCUCUUUCCUCUGCUUUUAUUACCGGUUUGACCUUUUUCAUCACACUUGCAUACUUCACGAUUGUU